CCCCUCACCAGACUUUACAGUCCAAGAAAAUACGAAUUUUUUUCAACUUACCAACAGAUGUCAACUUCCUAUUUUAUUCCCUGACUCAUAGUAGGUAUUUUAGCGAAUACAUUUUGAAAGAAUGUGUAACAUAUUUAAUUGGCAACUGAUAUAAUUAUUUAUAGAUUUACAGUACAACAGUUUUGAAAUUCUUUACUCACUGAUUCCAUACUAUAAUUUCCUUUUUUUAACUUUUGGUUCAAAUAAAAUGAGAAUCAUAGCUUCUAGAAGAGGUUCUGUGACAAUAUGAAAGCAUCAAUUCACAAAUCUAGAAAUUUAGCUGUCUACUUUUGCAUGUCUCUCUAGCUAAAAAUUGCUUUCAUAUUUUUAAAUGGUUUGAAGAAAUCAGAAGAAUGAUAUGUUG
rnacentral:lncRNA from 1 species